GAGGAUCCCUUCAGUGGUGUUUGUGUAACUGUCUGCAGAGGGCGGAUCCAAACUGUCAAAUUCACACACAUUCAGGCAGUAUGUGAGAAUCUACAUCUUUGCUUGAUGCAAUGAGGGAAUCCCUCUGAUUGGUGGCCCUGGGACGGCCAGAAAAGAUCUCCCUGGUGCUAGUCUGGGACCUAUUGGACUCUCCCCAGCUCUCCGGCUCAGAGGCCCUCAUCAGUCCUCUUGUUUACUGUGGGCCCCAUGGGACCCAGAUUGUUCCAGAAGCCCUGCUUGCUGGUGUUCAAGCAUUGUUCAGGGAAUGCGAUCCAGGCCCAGGCUUGGAUCAGUAACACUGACCUCCUCAGCAGCAAGACCUGACAUCCCGUCUGGGUCAGGGAAGGGAUGAGAGCAGAGACCACCAGUGAUGAAUGCCAGAUACACCUCUCUCACUUCAGAAUGAAGAAUGGACAGCACUGCCAAUGAAGUCAUUGUUACAAGGCACAAAUAGUGGCCUGGAGAUGAAGUAUGUGGAAAUCUUGAGAUUCCAGGCCCCAGGAAGCGGAUCUCCGGUGACCAGAAUCUCUUCCACCCCUCACUGUAACAGGCAAGUAUGGGGUCUGCUGAAGAGAGGUGAUUUGUACCGUACUUCUAGCAGCUGCUGGACUGGGAGCAGUCUCCUUCUACUGAAAGCACUUCUGCCCCAUUCCUUACAGCAACUCCGACUGGGGGAGGCAGGGACCGUGGUAGUCAUGAGUUUCCCCUCCUAGCCUGUAUUCCCCACUGGUUGACAUAGGCUGGGACUGGCAUAUCUGAAGGCACAUACCAGCCAAAGUUCUAAGGACCCAUGAACUCAGAUCAGGAGACUUGCACUCCGUAGCCACGUGGAAAUCACUGGUGCAGAAACAAAUCCAUAUCGAUGGGGCUGGGAAGCAGUAUCCUCCGUCUCAAAGGCGAUGGUCCACCUCAGUAUUGCCUGAGGGCACAAUGGGCACAAGUAGUGGGUUCUGUGAAUUGAUCACCUCAAAGGGACGUGGUGGCUUCUAUGACCCAGACAAGCCAGAAAGCUAGAGCUAAAGCAGAGCCAGUGAUGGGCUGGGGUGCAGAAGAGUCAGUACACUGAGCUAGCACCAGACCUUCAGCUUCAGUGAUCCCACCCGGUUGGGUGACGCUGAGAGAGCUAUGUGUUUUCUCCCUUCCAAAAUCCCCUGCGAGCUCUUUGAGCAGCUACAGGUGCUGCUGGACCCAAAGAGCAUCAGUGGGAACAACUGGUGCAAGCUGGCAUCCAGGCUGGGCAUGUGCAGGAUGAAAAUCAGAUAACUUGCAAGACUCAUCUCAGGUUAAAGGAGCAGGAUGGGAUAGGGGAGAGAGGAGACCAGGCAGAGUGGUGAAGACACUGACUGGAAUAGCUACUGCUUCAAGCUGAGUGGAAAGUUAAGGAUGAAAUCUGCUUUUCACAGCAAAAGCUGUGGUGGAGAGUUUCCAGGCAGUCCUAGAGGACUUAAACGCGGUUUUAUUUAAUGAAUGUGUCUAAAUCCCCUUUGAAAAUCUCAGGCCACAUUUUGUCCUGAACAGGCUUUGCAUCUGUUUCCUGUGAUUAUUCACAGACUAGUUCAGAGUCCCAGCUAACUUGGGCAGCUAGGAUUCUGCUUGGAAAGUCAGCCUGUGAAACAACACUAGCCAGAAACCUGGACUAUUAACUGACGGAUCCUCGGCCUGAUUCUCAGAAAACAAGUGAAGAGAUGCACCAGAGAAACAGGAUUUUGCAAGGAUCUGAGGUAUUUUGCAUGGCAGCAAAGCCCAGCAGCUGCCAUCUUAGAGGUCUUUGAGGAGCAGAAUGGGAACCUGAGGGAUCUCUAAAAUAUCAUGGUGGCCAUGGGCAGGUCAGACUGCACCUUGGUCAUUGAAGGUUUCCUGAAUGGAACAAGCAGCGGGCACUGUUGCACCCUGGCCAGCAGUGCCCCUAGCCAGUCAGGCUUAGAGAGUCCUUGGAACAUGAAUGGCAAUAGCACAGGUAGCCCACAGCCUGGUCCCGUAGGACAAGGAUCCUGCCCUCGAGAGCUUACGAAAGAAGAACGUCUGAGCUGCAGUGGCUGGGGCUCCCCAGUCUGCACUGGCUUUCCCAUCCACUUGAAUUCUGGAGGCAGGCUGCAUAGAUGCUAAGGGGGACUCUGGAGUGAACUGGAAGAAUCUCACCCCUGCACCAUUGCGAGCAACAGAAGCACAGAGAGCCCUGCAACUCUCUCCCUGUUGGCUAGACUCAGCUUCUCCACACGUGGACACUUGUGCCCCGUUACAGCCAGUGGUCACUCCCCAGCCAUCCUGGUUCUUUCCUGACAUCUGGGAAGCCUCUUGUGCUCUCUCCCGGCCAUGUGGUUAGUGGGCAAGCUUGAGGGGGACGUUUCUGAGGCUCGCCAGUGAAGCGAAAUGUCCAAGGGAGGGCACCAGACUCGUGCUUCCAGGCAGCAGAAGGGGGGGCAGGGUACAUAGAGGGCAAUCUCUGUCUGUCAAGGGGACGUCAUCGUUCUGCUUAAAGGUGAAGAACUGCAGCAGCUCUUGUGUUUGAGAGACAGCAUGAGACCAAGCAUCCUCUCAGCUGGGACCUCUCUUCCUCACUGGGUAUGCAUCCCCCUUGCGGGCUAGCUCUGCUCCUGUUAAUGGAAACAGGAAUGCUCCCCCUGGCUUGCCCAAGGCAGCCCCUUAAUUUGACAGCACUGCCCCAUUGGGGGUGGCUUGUGACAUUGUAACUGCUACCGCUCAGUCGCAUCAACUAUGCAGCUUUUGGGUUUUUCUUAGAAAGCUGGUACUUUGUGUAAGGGUCUCUCCCUCAGUGAGCUCACCGACUUGCUGUGGAGCGGAGGAGAUGACAUCCUAGCCCAUGCAGCAAGUGUAGGGAAUAAAGAGUCUGGCUCUAGUAAACACGGCCUUCUAGAACCCUAGCUGCAGGUUACCCAUGUCCAGUCCACAAGCUGCCACUGCCUUGCUCAACCAGGCAUCCUUAGGCCCUCAUAGGCUUGGCUAGGCCAGCGCACCCCAGGGGAGGGAGAGAGAAUCAUUAUCUCCCAUCUACAGCUGGAACAAGCCGAGAGAUUAAAGGAGAAUCUGUGGGACAGUAGGGAACUGAACCUGAGUCGCAGGCUAACACCCUAACUGCAAGGGCAUCCCUCCCCCCACUCUGAGUUGGCCAGAGUUGCGGAAGUGGAAUAGAACUCCUCCAAGAAAGCCUCAGUAUACAUAUGUACAUGUGAGACGCGUGCGCACACACCAAUAUGAAGGAGACCUGCAAGUGCACAUAACUUUUAUUUUGGAAAAAAAAAAAAAAUUUUUUUUUUAAAGACUAUUUGCAAGGAAAUGGUUUUCCAGGAAAACAACCCAGUGUGUUCGACACCUCUUGCCCCUGAGCUAUUAUUAAAGAUGGUUUACAUACAUGGGGGGGAUCAAAAGGGAAUUACCCAUGUCUUCUUCAGGGGUACAACCACCACCAGGCUGAGGGAAGAUACUGCAAGCUCCUCAUCAUUUGAGGCGGCAUGAUGUGUGUCUUACUGCUCCCCAUGUACUGUAUCCCCUUAUCCCCUCACUGGAGGUCCCCUGCUGCCCAGUCAUAUUGGGGCAGUCAGGAAUCACUGGAGGGCUCAGAGGAAGUGAUCUGUGGAACAACAGGCUUUCCAGAAACCAUUAAUAAAGCAAAACAGAGUCAGUAAUA